ensembl:lncRNA
CACCAGCGGCACGAUCCAGCAAUUGGUUCUUGCAGCUGAUGAAUACUAAAGAGUCCUUGGCGAUCUUGCACACGGUUGUGCUAGAAAGCAUCAAAGUGGCCUCAAGAAGGAGAUAUUUGUGGAAGAAGCCAUUCACAAGUAAAGAGAAGUGCCAGGGAAAGGAGCUUUCAGACCGGCUGCUGUGGGAGGUUGACUCAUUGGAGUGCAGGAGAAGCCGGAGACAGCCCUGAGACCAGAAGAGAUGAUGAACAGAGGUACAAGGUCAUGACAAAUGUAGUGUGGCUACACAGAAGUGGUGCAACUGGAGCUCCCUCAAGGCAUGAGAAGCGAGCAGAAGCAAGAGGAGCACAUAGUGACCUUCACCUUGUGUAAUGGAGGUACACGUCUGUUUGCCCUGCAGCAGUGAAGGCCACCCUUGAAUUACAGAUGGUAUGGAACAGAACUACUUAUUUUGAUCUAGUACUCUGUGAAAAAUUGGGAAUUACCAUUUCCUAGGCUCUAUCUCAUACCUUUUCUGACCAUGAAGGCUUCAGUCACAUUUUCCUCACUUCUCCCUUGAGAAUCCUCCUAACUUUUGUACCUCUUCACCAAUAACAUCUGUACACUGAGAAAACACAACUGCAAUUUUGACAGGGGUGUUCAGGAACUUUGAGAUUGGGAUUGGUUGCUUCCUCUUAUCCAGUUUAUCUCCUUCCUCAAGUUACUAUUUCUCACUUGACUUCAGAGCCAAGCUGCGUUACACCUGCUGCGUUCACCCACAGAGACACUGUCUAUGUGCUGCAGACUCAUUCAUCUCGAUUCUUCUUGAGCUGUCGAAAAUGGCAUCACUUUCUGAGGUGUAGGUUUUACCUGCAACAAUAUAGAGCCAAAUGUACAUGAAGAUUGUUUUGCAAGAUGUAUGGGAUCCUUACAUUUUCAUUAAAGCUAUUCACCUUGUGCUUACUAAUGGAUGAUGAUAUUUACCAGUCUAUGUAUAUAUGUCUGUAUAUGUUUGUUCGAGCAAGACUUUGAUGGCCAUUAGAGAUCAGCAGUGUGGUACAGGGGUGAUUUUGGCCAUGGAAAUAGAGGCAAAGCUCCUGCAAGCUGUCUUGAAGUUGAGACAAACUUCAAUCUAUUCAUCCCCUGUCAGAACAUAUGAGGAUUCAUGUGAUGGG